CGUGUAGGCGGUUUCUUAAGUCUGAUGUGAAAGCCCCGGGCUCAACCCGGGAAGUGCAUUGGAUACUGGGAGACUUGAAUACGGGAGAGGGUAGUGGAAUUCCUAGUGUAGGAGUGAAAUCCGUAGAUAUUAGGAGGAACACCGGUGGCGAAGGCGGCUACCUGGACCGAUAUUGACGCUGAGACGCGAAAGCGUGGGGAGCAAACAGGAUUAGAUACCCUGGUAGUCCCACGCCGUAAACGAUGAGAACUAGGUGUUGCGGGUAUUGACCCCUGCAGUGCCGCAGCUAACGCAUUAAGUUCUCCGCCUGGGAAGUACGGUCGCGAAGACUAAA
rnacentral:rRNA from 1 species